ACAGCUUUCUGAUUAUUCAUGACGACUACCCUCCCUCGACGGUGAAUCGAGGGUCCCUGGGUCUGUGGUGAUCAAUUACCCAUGAGGAGACGUCGAUCCUCAAGAAAGGAGCCCCUCGAAGGCCAAGCUACCUGGUGAACAAAAGAGGGAGGAAGAUGAUUAACUGAAGCAUCAUCAAUUAUCUGUGCUGUGCAAGAGUAACACAGCACAAGGUCCUUGGCGGGCAAACAACAGGACUUGACUCUGAUUUUUGCGUAAAGCUGGGGCAGGUCAAGGGAGGCUCCCUGAGGGCGUGAUGCCAGGCUAAGCUCUGAAAGAGGAAGUGCACUUGAAGAGGAAAUCUAGGGCAAAAGGAAGAGGGCAGGCUGGCCACACUAGCAAUUCGAGGAGACAGUGGACAGCAGGUGAGGCUGGAAGCUAUAAGACAGUAAGGAAGAUAAGUCAUAUUAUCUACAGAAAGCAAUCGUAUUUUAACCAAGAAAUCAUGUCUAAAAAAGGAAGGUGAGAUUUCCAAGAAUUCAAAGGAGACAAUAGGAAGAAAAUACUGUAACAUGAGAAACACUUCGGAAUCCAACCAUCUGUCCAGCCCUCCCUGGUUCAUUGUUAGGCACAGGCUGGAGCCCAGGAAACUUCCCUCCCGGCAACAGUCCUGCUGGAAAUUCUGAUCAAAUUCAUUUAUGAAAGAGUCAUUUUCAAUUUCAAUGUUUGCUCCCCUGAACUAGCAUUCUGCGAGCAAGUCACUGUUUCUGACAUUGAAUAAAUAAAAUCGACA